rnacentral:lncRNA from 1 species
CCUGCAGGAUGUUGUGUUCAAGAUAAGUAAUUCAUUGUUCCUCUGCACUGCAUUACUGCUCUAGGUGAACAAUGAAGCACUUGUUGAAUUAACUUGCAAUCAUAUUCCUCUUACACACUUUUAAACACUGCCUAUCAGCCAUCACAACUCAAUGGCAUCCUGUUCCCCUCACCUCCAGGUUGGUGAAGAAGAGUGGGUACAGCUCCUCCAUGGAACCCAGAGCCUCCUCCGGGAAACACAGGAUGAAAUUGCCACACGCCACACAAGCAGCUGAUGGAGGAGAGCUUGUUACUGAUUACAGAUCAAUAAAAGCUAAAAUUCAAAACUGGACAAGAUAUAAUUUGAAGAAAACACUGCCACUGGAUAAGGCCAGGAGUCAUCAGUGAAGCAGACUGUAAGGGCAUGCAGGAGGCGAGGGACAUGUUGCCUCACUGCGUCUGUGGUGAGCUUGAGGGCAAGUUCAGCAAUACAGGCACAAGCAGCUUCCCGCACUGCAUGGUUGUCUGCACCUGUUGCCUCAAUGUAGUAACUCACCUGAGGGAAGAACAGUAGCAAGUGAAUUUAAGUGCAAUGAUCCAAACUACAACUACAAGGGAAGAUCUGAGCAAGAGUAGCAUGAUGUCAAUAAAAACUGAUAUAUAAAUGGAAGAUAACAAGCAUUCUCUUACCACAGAAUCAAUGUACUUCUCCACCAGUGUCUUGCCCUCAGCACCAGUCACCUGCCGCCACGUCUCUUGGGAGUACAGACGAACACCUUCUGCUACGUAGUACCUGAUGGAUGUCAUUAAGUUUUGUGUGUGUGUGUGUGUGCGUGCGCGUGCCCACCUGUUGAGGCAGAGACGAGGCAGCAGUGUUGGGUAGAAGCGCUCACGGGCUGCAGAUGGCAGCGAGAUCAAGAACUUGCGUGUGGCCACUGAAGAUGCUAAACGGACCUGGGCAGACCCCACAGGAUGUCCCAACCCCCCUCCCAUGUCACUCACCACAGCCUUCAACCAUAAAAGCCACUCCCACUCACCUGACUCCAGUUGUCAGCAAGGCCUUUUCCAAGAUGCUGUGUCAGCUGAUCACCAAACGUAAACAUGGGGUUGCUCUCCAGCAGUUCAGCACCCUCUGUGGAGAGCCAAAAGCACAUCCUGCAGCAACUACAAGGCACCUGAUACAAGAGAGGCAGGUGCCACAUGGCUGUCACUCACCCUCAGCUCCACAGGACACCAGUGCUCCACACACACUGAAGCCCGUCUCCCUCACAAAGCGGUUGGUGUGGGUCAGAGCUUGAAAUAUGAGGUCCAGCAAUUCCUGAGGGUCAAGAAGAGGAUAAGGAAGCAAGUCUGUUGAAAAAAGGAUUAAGAGAAAGCACAUUUAUUUAAUUCUCUCUUCUUACCUGGUUGAUGAAGGAAAGGAACUUAUGUCCUGUCCCAAUAAUCAUGUGCUCCAGACACUUCAUGCUGGUCUCAAGAUUCCUCCAGCCAGCCGUGUCAUGGAAGAUUUGUGCUGCAUCUCCACUGUUUCUCUGCAAUUGUUAUUGAGGCACAUCAUUAUUCACAUGCGCACAUAAGCACAAACACACUGGGAUUGCUCAAAAUAAGGAUUAAAUAAAGUUGCUUACUAUG